rnacentral:rRNA from 1 species
UACGGAGGAUCCGAGCGUUAUCCGGAUUUAUUGGGUUUAAAGGGUGCGUAGGCGGUUUGAUAAGUUAGAGGUGAAAUGCCGGGGCCCAACCCCGGAACUGCUCUGGAAACUGUAAAGCUGGAGUGCAGGAGAGGUAAGCGGAAUUCCUGGUGUAGCGGUGAAAUGCGUAGAUAUCAGGAGGAACACCGGCGGCGAAGGCGGCUUACUGGACUGUAACUGACGUUGAGGCUCGAAGGCGUGGGGAGCAAACAGG